GCCCCUUGAUAGCCCCCACCCUGCUGCAUCUUCGACGGUUUAUCGUAGGGGGAUCCGCCACUGCCAUAGGGGGACCCGCCGCUGCCGUAGGGGUCACCGUACCCCUGCUGAGCCUUGGACGGCUUCUCCGAGUAUGGAUCGCCGUACCCGCCGCCCUGCUGCGCCUUAGACGGCUUCUCCGAGUAUGGAUCACCGUACCCGCCGCCUUGCUGCGCCUUAGACGGCUUCUCCGAGUAUGGAUCACCGUACCCGCCGCCUUGCUGCGCCUUAGACGGCUUAUCGGAUCCGGCGCUGUAGGGAUCGGCGUACCCGCCGUACGGGCCGGCGGCGGGAGGAGCGGAGGGCUGGUACCCGGUUUUGGACGGUUUCUCACCGCCAUACUGAGAGGACGCGGCAGCGUAGGGGUCGCCGUAACCUCCGUAGGGGGCGGAGGAGGGAGGAGCUGAGGGGUUGUAGUCGCCGCCUUUGUGAGGCUUGGAGGGCUUCUCACCCGCCGCUGGCGGGGCGCCGGCGCCGUAGGGGACGCCGUAUCCGGCAGGAGGAGCGCCGUAGCCUCCGCCACCGUAGGGUUGCGUCGGCGGCGGGCCGCCGUAGGGGUAGCCGGACAUGGUGGGAAAUCGAGAUCGGAGAGGCGGAUUUGGG
rnacentral:misc_RNA from 1 species